rnacentral:rRNA from 1 species
UCUUAUGUACAUGCCUACAAUGUUAAUGCACCGAAUCCCAUCAGAACUCCGCAGUUAAGUACACUUGGGCUAGAGUAGUUCUAGGAUGGGUGACUUCCCGAAAAGUACUAUACAUGCCUAUGGC